UACGGAGGGGACUAGCGUUGUUCGGAUUUACUGGGCGUAAAGGGUGCGUAGGCGGUUUAGUAAGUUAGAAGUGAAAGCCCAGGGCUUAACCCUGGAACUGCUUCUAAAACUAUUAGACUAGAGUGCGGGAGAGGAUAGUGGAAUUCCUAGUGUAGAGGUGAAAUUCUUAGAUAUUAGGAGGAACACCGGUGGCGAAAGCGACUAUCUGGAACGUUACUGACGCUGAGGCACGAAAGCGUGGGGAGCAAACAGG
rnacentral:rRNA from 1 species